AUACUAGUCAGUUCUGAGUCAGUGUUUGCAUCUUCUAUGCUCUUUUCCUGGAAAUAAACAAGCUCAAUGUUAGUGCCAUUUUUCAGAAAUGUAGCACGUUUGAGAUGGUGUUAAUGAAAAGUCAGCUUUAUGUGAACUGGCUGCUCUAAUGAAGCUUUAAAUGAAAGAAAUUAUGCUUAUGUUCGAUGUACUAGUAUUUCUCUUCGAUUUUCAGAAUACACACUCCUUUCGUGGAAGUCGAUUUUAGGUUGCCUAAUUGAAGAAAGGGAUAGUAUCAACUGUUGUCUUGACUCUUGACCAUUGAUUUAUUAAACGGUCAUUUUUUUUCUACAUUGCAUCCAUUGGGUCUAAAAUACAUCAUGUCACAAUGGGGGUCUAUAAUGAAAAACAAAACCUACUACAACUCUACAAGAAAGAAGACAAUUUGCCAGACAACAGCUGCAAUGAAAGACCUUUUGCCAUAUGCAAGUCUUUGGCUAAAGGCCCAGCAAAUUAAAGGCACAGAUUAGAAAAAUGGCAAAUUGCAUACAUAUCUCAGCAGUAUUGUGAGAUGUGGCAAAUGGAAGCAAGCAUUUGCCACAGCUUUUGUCUGAAGCAAUAUAUGUAUGCACAACUAAAAGAGUGUAUGAGCCAGAAGCAAAACUUAAAAUAAAAAUAUAUAUAUAAGAAAUCUCAUACAUGAGAGUCAAUUUAAAAUUUUACAGCAAAUUUCUCAUCCAAUAACACAAAAUUACAACAUGUCUCCAUAAAAGGUAACGGAAAGCAGGAAGGGGAGGUCCAAUUCACUAAGUAGACUCACUCUAUGGAGGGGCAACAAAGACUGGAACCAUUUGUUGCAGCGGAGCGAAACCAUUGAUUUAUAUCUAAAUUAAGCUUUAGAAAAUAGAACUGGAGAUGCACACCCAAAAGGGUUGUGCAGAUCUCCUUAACUAAAUCACCUAAGAGGACUAGUAGUGGCAGAGACUGGUACGAACCAGAAUUACUUAGAUUGAAAUGGUUCGUCCAUAUGGCUCUAUUUAUAGCCUACAAUGGAACACUCUAGACACUCAAUUUAUUACACAACUAACUAUUUAGCUUCUGCUCUAGACCUUUUUACACUCAUUCGUUUCUAAGACAUAUCUAGAACUCUUGAUGCUUCACACACUAAUGAAAUUACAAAUUAUCAUUUUCAACAAUCCCCUGUAAUUUGGAAUUUCAUUAAUCUCACCCAAAGCUUAAUUUAGAUAUAUCCCGAAGUUGCAUUUGAGCACUGCCCCAUUUCGUUUCUUCAUCUUUGGCACGACAAGAAAACAAAGAUGAGAAAGCGAAAUGGGUGGCGCUCAAAUUCAACUUGGGGUGACGAAUUAUAUCGAAAUGAGAAAUCAAAAUUUGGGGUGAUUUAAUAAAAUUUCAAAUUACAAGGAUUGUUGAAAAGUCAAAUUUGUAAUUUUAUUAGUGUGAACCAUCUAGAGAAUUCUAGAUGUACGAAGAGUGUUCUAGAGUGGUAGUCAAAGAAUUAGUUGUGUAAUAAUUUGAAUGUCCAGAGUCUUCCAUGGAAGUGGUCAUGUAACCAGGUCCACAACUAUUUCAAUAUAAGUAAUUCUAGUUUUGAUAACUCUCUUCCACUAGAAGCUCUCUUAGGUUGUUCAGUAAGGGAGCUCUGGAUAAAUCUUUCGUGCGUGCAUCUAUAAUUCUAUUUUCCAAUGCUUAUAUUAGAUAAAAUUAUCGCUUCUACUUGCGCCCCAUCAUUAUUCCGGCCAAAAAAAGGAACCUACUUUUCAUCCUAGGAGUUUGCAGGUAUGAGAGAGAAAUCAAAUUUCCCAUCCAAUACACAAAAUUAUAACAUAUGUAUCCAUAAAAUGUCACAACAGGUCUAUGAAUGCAUCUUCUACUCCACUUUCCACAACUCAUUGACAUCUUUAAUGACCAGGGAUUCCAUGCGAUUGCGCAAGGAAGAUACUAUAAUUCAAUUUAUGGAAGAAUAUUGGAAACCUAUUCAUACUUAUAUGAAAAACAAAAUACUACACUUUGAAACAUUAGAAAGCUUAGUUUGUAAUGAUAAAUCUGCAAGAGAUACUCCUGGAAGGGAAAAAACUCAAGAAAUGAUACGAAAAAACAGUCAUCAAAGAAAAGAAAUGAGCGAAAGAAUGUAGUUGAACAAGACAGAUAUUUGAAUAUUUCAGAAGUAACUAAUGAAUCCUAGAUGACGCCACAAAAAUUGGCUGAUUGAAAGAGCCAACCAGUGCCAUAAUAUCAAGUUACCAACUAGUCCAGUACAUAUGACCAAUGUUUUUUGGCUACAGUAUCGGAUAAACAGGAGGAUCUGUCAGAUAAACAGAAGGAGGCAUCGGAAGAUGAUGUAAAUAGCGAUGCUAGAAGACAAAUUAUUUCCUGUAUUACAAAACAGGUCCUAUAAAAGCAAGGGAAUGAGGAGUGUGAACACAUUUAAUUUUGUAUAACGACAGAAAAGACCAAUAUAAAAUGAAAGGCCAAAUGGAUGUUUCAAGAUCACAAUUCCUAUUUCUGAUCAUAGUGCCAAAAUAAUUAUUACAAGUGAAAUAUCGUGUUAUAUAGCAGUUUCUCAGCUGAUAUAUAUAUUACAGAUGAAUUGAAUAAAAAAAUCCAUAAUAACUUGAACAAGAAAUGGUGACACUUACCGUUACAGACUGAGAUAAUGCAGACUUUCUUUGAAAUUUUGUUGAACACAUUUCCAAAUAAGAUUUUAUCACGAGCCCUUAUUACUCUUCAAAAAAUCGCCUCGCUUAUUACUCGGCCUCUAUUUAUAUGCAUUUAUCUUAACUAAUCUUAAAAUUUGUUUUAAAUUCAACAAAAUCGACUGACCUAUAAAUAUCACUCUUUUGGUCUAUGCUGAGUCCCAGAAUCGACAACUCUGGUGACAUACUAUGUGACUGCCUUACGCGUCGAUCAAUCCAAGUCACUAAUAUUAUUUUUUGUUUUUACUUUUCCCGAACUCUCCUAUUUUUCGUACCUUCACUUUCUCACUUCACUCAUAUUCUGCAAAGUUUUUGCCUUCUCUUCCCACAUAUAUUCUCCUAACUCCUUUUGUUUUCUCAUUUCCAUCUCUAGAGUCUUCGUACCCAAAACACUCCAUUGUCUUUUUUAGCGAAGUAAACAAACAGAUACCACUCCAAUGAACAAAUGAAGAUCGAGUAUAAACAUAAAAAUACCAAAUACAAUAUAGUCUAUUUUUAAUAUUUGCAGUUUAUGAUUUUCUGUUUAAUGUUCAAUCAAUAUAUUAUGGAGGAAGUUUUAAUUGGGAAAGAGAGGGGGAGAAUAAAAUAAAGUUGAAAUACAAGAUGAAAAUGUUAAUAUCAUCUUGUCUCAUUGUUUCUCACUCAACCCUGGUAAAUCAAUGGUAGCCUUCCUCUACUCUGACAGUCAACACUGUAAAUUUCAUCUUUUCUUUCGACAAUUUUUCAUGAUUUUUUAAUUCAGCUGCUGCCUUUUCAACACGCUGGUUGAUAUGAUCCAAUUUAUUAUUUUAAUAUUAUUAAACUGUAUACCAACAAUAAGUACCAUUUAUAGCUCGCUGAAGGUCUGGUAAGGGAAACUGAGGACUGAGGUAGCAACUCAUGACAAUGUUAGAUCAGCAACCCACCAUGGAAGGAGAUCUGUGUAUCGAAUUUUCCUUAAAUUACCAUUUAACAACAAAAAGGGAAAAAUCGUUCCAUUAGUAGAGAUAUUGGAAGAAUCUGUUUUUGGAAGAUCAAUAUGUUGGAAAAAAAAUCAAGUUUUUGAAGUAUGCUUCUGAUUAUUAAGGGCCUAUCUGAAACACUUUUGCGGAUGGGAACAAGGAACCUUUUUCAAUUCCUCCUUACUGCAACCCCACAGGCCACAACUGUCUAAUGCAUAGAAAUUCAGUACCAUGGUAGAAUAAGCUAAAAUGAGAUGUACAAAUUUUUUUUAAUCCCAUACUGAAAUCAAACUUGUUAAAACAAUAAAAUGAACAACAUUAAGAAACACAAAACUCAAUGGAAAUUUCAAAGGAAAAAAAAAAUAUAAUACAAGGCACUAAGGCAGCCACAAGUUCUUACACAAAGUAUCAUUCACAAUCUGAAAAGCAAACCAAAUGAUAAGUAAGCAUAGAGCAUAUAUUAAUCUAUAAAGGUAUACACAACUGAACAUGUAAGAGAAAAUGUUUGUGUGUUUACUUAUACUUGAAUACUUCUAGGAUCACCUCACCACAUGUUAGACAAUGUAACGGCAACGAUAAACAGACAGGGAAAAUAAGUAGUGAAAUAAUAAGGAAUAGAUUAAAGACGAUAAAAAUCAGGUACCUAGUAAAAUUGAUGUACCAAGAUGGAAUCACAUAAUCGAACCAUGGCUACAAAAAGAGCAUUGAACAAUUCGAACCUGCAUUAAAAAUUUAAUAAAUUAAUAAUAGAUAGGAAAACCUCUGUCAAUAAUAUUGAUAAUAUAAGCUGUAAUGACUCAAUGCACUUUGCAAUUUCGUUUCAUGACAUAUAUAUUGAAAACAUUAUUUUUACUCGUUAAACCACCAAAUGACUUAGAAUAGAGACCUUUAACUGCAUAAAAUCCAACUUCAAAGCAAAAAAUUUAAUUUCAAUCUUUUAUUAUAUUUGAUGAAACUAGCUCAAGAUUAAUCAAUUUGGAUAAUAUUAAAAAUUUAAACUGUUGGAAAACCUUGAUUUUAACAAAAAAAAAAGCUAGAUUUUCUAACAAAACAUCUAAUAAAUUAAUAAUUUUAUACUAUUUCACUAUUAAUUAAACUCAACUAUAUUGCAAACAAAACAUUCACAUUCAAACCAGAAAAUAAUACUUACAAGAUGUACUCCACAGUCCACAACAAGAACAAAUUUUCAGCAGCAAUGAUACGGAACUUAGAUAAAAAUUAUUACUAUAUUCCAAUUAAUGCUGGUUUGUUUCGAAAUUCGACUUGGAACACUGAAGAGGGAGUUGGUAUGUUUAAAAUUUUAGUGAGGAAGAAGAAAGAAAAGGCCAAGAGGGAAGAAGAAAAAAAAAAAAAAAAAAAAUUGUUAAUGGAGAAAUUAUUUGCUCACCGGGGGUUUUGCUCGCCACGCUCCCCAAGACCCCAACCCCCCCUCUUAAAAUGCUUCCAUGUGGUGCUGAAAUCUUUUUUUAACUUCUAUUAUUCUUUCUAACUAAUUUGCCUUUGUCUAGUUAAUUAUAAUUAAAGAAUUUUAAAGAUACCAGAUUUCUCUCUCUUUUUUCUCCAAUGAAAAAAAUAAUUCUGAACUCUCCCCUCUCUCUCUCUCUCUCAAUUCUUGGAUCACAGACUAUCAAAAAUGAGUACAACUAAUACAAAUAAAGAUUUAUGAAGAAGUAAUUAAAAUUACUAACUUCUAUUAAUUUAGUUUCACGUAGCAAUGGUAAUUUGAUUUAUAUUUUAC
rnacentral:lncRNA from 1 species